AAUAUUUUAUAAAAUUUAUUAUAAAUACUGACAUUUGUGAAGCAUAUGAUAAGGUUAGUGAUUCAAUAACAAUUUUGUACCUGACAAGUACAUAUGCACCAAAAACUAGAGGCCCUAGAAAGGAUUAAUAUGUUAUGGUUUAGAUUAUGUUCUUAUAAUCUAAAGUAGAAUAUCUUUUUGUAUUCAACAAAUAUUCUUGACAACAAAAAAGGAAAAAUAAUAAAAGGUUUAUCAGAAAGACAUUUUAAUGAAUUUUGACUAAAGUUAGACAUUGG
rnacentral:lncRNA from 1 species